rnacentral:tRNA from 1 species
GCCUGGGUGGCUCAGUCGGUUAAGCGUCCGACUUCGGCUCAGGUCAUGAUCUCGCGGUUCGUGGGUUCGAGCCCCGCGUCGGGCU